rnacentral:lncRNA from 1 species
GCCUCUCUUAUGGGAGGGAGUCCUGCUGUUUGCACUCAACAGCGCCGCAGGAGUCCACUUUUAUUCUUAACAGUUUCAAUCUAACUUUGAGGGCUCCUCCCUCUGGCCUCCCUCUGUGGCUAUCUGGGCAUUUAGGUAGUUUCCAAUUCUCUGUGGAAAUUAACCCCCAGGACAUCCAUCAUUAAACAUGAAGGUUUUCCCCACUUUCCUGAAAGUUACUGAGGACAAUUCUCAGAAGUGGAAAUCAUGGGGCCCAAAGAACUGAGAGUUCUCUUUGAAGCUAUCAUCAAAACUGUCUUCUAAAAGGCCUGUCCAGAGCCCAGCAGUAUAACAUGGCCACCAUUAGCCAUCCCACUGUGGGGAAAAUGUGUGUGUGUGUGUGUGUGUGUGGUGCAGAAGUCAAAGGUCUUGCUGACCUGGCACUGGAACCCAAUAAAUAACCUAGACUCACUAA